GCUAAUAUAGUUUAAUAGGUUAAAACAUACCUUUCAUGAGGGUAAACUAAAGGUUCAAUUCCUUUUAUCAGCU
rnacentral:tRNA from 1 species